GCCCAUAUGGCGGAAUUGGCAGACGCGCCGUCUUCAGGUGGCGGUUCCCGCAAGGGAGUGCAGGUUCGACUCCUGCUAUGGGCA
rnacentral:tRNA from 1 species